AUUGUCAAGACAUCCCCACGCAGGAAUGAAAAUCAUCUCAGUCUAUGAUGCUGAACUUUCAAAGGAAGGGAAAAAGAGCCUUUUGAGACUUGAACUGUUAAUAACUGAUGUCAAUAAACAGUAUAGUUUUAUCUGUUUCUGACAAUUUUUUUAUUUAAAAAAGAAAGUGGGUGAGUGCUCUGUCGUGUCUGACUCUUUGCAACCCCAGGGACUGUAGCCUGCCAGGCUCCUCUGUCCACAAGAUUUCUGAAGCAAGAACGCUGAAGUGGAUAGCCAUUUCCUCCUCCAGGGGUCCUCCUGAUCCAAGGAUCGAACCUGUGUCUCCUGCUUUGAUAGAUUGUUUAUCACAGAUUCUUUAUCACUGAGCCACCUGGGAAGUCCUUUAAAAAGAAACCAUGUAGGCAAAAAAGGGUUAAAAAUAAAGGCUAACGUUUUGGGGAAAAAAAAAAAAAGCACUUUUAAAGUGUGCCCUCUAGUGGACAGAGGUAGAAAUGCAUAUAACCUUGAGGAAAAAAUGGAUGCCUUACUGACCUCAGUAAGUCUUACUGACAGAAAGUACAGAGUGGCUGCUGGGGACAUCACUUGUGGCCCUGCACAUUCACAUGUCAGAAUGAGACUGAGUUUGGAUAUGGGUCUGUAAAGGGGGGAUUCAGUUACAAUGAGGCCUUCAAGGGGUCCUAAUGCAAUCUGCCUGGUAUUCUUAAAACACAGAGAGACCCCAGGACCACGGUGCACAGAAUGACCAGCUGAGGACCCAGGGAGGAGGCGGCCGUCUGCAACCCAGGAGAGAGGCCUCAGGAGAAACUCACUCUGCCCACACCUUGAUCAUGGAUGUCCAACCUCCAGAACUGUGUUUAAAUGUCUGCUACUCUGCAUGUUCCACUAAAGCAGUACCACUACUGGAAUAUAGAGAAGUCCACACGAAGGGGAUGUUUCUAUAGGUCAGCACUGGUCUGCAGGGCCCUGCAUGGUCUGACCCUGCUGGCUCUCCUGGCUUCAUCUCCUCUGCCUCACCUGCUUGUCCCCACCAUACUGGGCUCCUUGAUGCUUCUUCAAGGCACCCUGCAGGUUCCUGCCCCAGGACCUUGGCACGUACUGCUCUAUUCCAUACCCACCCACAUGGCUGUUCCCUUUCCUCCCAUUUCUACUCCACGGUCACCUGCAUGACAGUGGUGACUGUCUGAAGUGCCUCCCUCUCUAAAAGGUCACCACCACCUCCCAAAUUCCUAUCUCUCUCCCCUGCUUUACUGUUCAUGGUUAAUAUAUAUAUCUAGCCAAAGUCGUGCUCAUCUAUCUUGUUUAUGAUCUGUGUCCCAUCAACAAGAAAGCUGAUAAAGGUGGGGCUUUUGUCUGUUUUGUUCCCAGCUGUACACUCUGUACCCAGAAAGAAGAACAGCGCUUUGAACAGAGUAACAUGUGAUAACUAUUUAUUGAAUGAGUGACUACAGAAUGCAGGCUUUUAGCCUCAGCGUUCUCACUCCAAAUGCGAGAAGUCAAAUAUAUAUAACAGAUUGAAGAUGGUACCAAGGUGCAGGGAGGGGGGAAGCAAAGGAGAGAGGCGGGGGCAGGGGUGAGAACUUAGCCAGCUGAGGAGGCCUGGCCCCAGCCAAGAGGCUCUCAUAUCCACUCAGUCCUGCUGUCCGAUGGCGGUGGGGGUGGGUGGAGGGCGGAGCUGGCUAGAAAGGGGGAAAUGAAGAAUUUAUAUUUCUCAAAAACUUUCUAUAAGAUUUGUGGGGCUCACUCACUGAGACCAGCCCUUGGGGCGUUGGCUUGUCUUUACAGUGUGAUGGAACACAGUGGAGGAAGAAUGGCCUGGCUCGUAGGGCAAGUGGCCCAGAACUUGCUGCAAAGCCCACUGCAGAAACACCGAUUACAAUUUGUGUUGAAUCCCAUCCCCAGCGAACCCUGCUCAUAUAGCACCUCAGAAUGCAUCCAGCUCCAUCCGUGAAUGAAUGAACAGACAAAAUGUGGCCCAUCCAUACAGUGGAAUAUUAUUCAGCCUUGGAAAGGCAGGAAAGUCUGACAUCUGCUACAACAGGGAUGAACUCUGAAGACGUUUCACUCGGUGAGAGAAACCAGACACAGGAGGACAGACACUGUACAGUUCCACUUACUUGAGGGACUAAAGCAGGUGAAUUCACGGAGACAGAAAGCAGAAGGGUGGCUGCCAGGGGCUGGGGGCGGGGACUUGGUGUUUAAUGGGGACCGAGUCUCCAUUUGGGAAGAUUAAGUUUCAUGCAUGGAUGGCGGUGACGGCUGCACAAGUAUGAAUGUGUUUAACGCCACUGCAUGUACACUUAAAAGCAGUUAAGAUGGGAAAUUUUAUGUCUGUAUAUUUCACCAAAUCUUACAAGUGCUUAUGGGCUUCCCUGGUGGCUCAGACAGUAAAGAAUUUGCCUGCAAUGCAGGAGACCCACGUACGAUCCCUGGGUCAGAAAGAUCUCCUGGAGAAGGGAACAGGAACCCACUUCAGGAUUCUUGCCUGGAGAAUCCCAUGGACAGGGGAGCCUGGCGGGCUACUGUCCAUGGGGUCACAAAGAGUUGGACACGAUUGAGCAAGUAACACUUUCACGAGUGAUUACAAGUCUCUUGGGCUGGGGCCUGAGAAUCUGCAUUCCUAAGGAGGCCUCUGAGCAAUGCUGACGUUGCCUUCCCCGGGGGAACCUCCAGCGAAGCCGACAAAAGUGAGUUCAGCAACACUGAAUUCCUCGCCUCACAGCUUCUGGGUCCAGCGUCCAACCAGGGACCAACGCCGUGUCUGCUACACGCAAGCUUAGCCCUCUCGGUCAGCACCAGUUUCAAUAGCUCACACAAGGAGCGCCCCCCAGCUCCCCUCCCUGCCUUCAGGGAGGGGCCUCUCUCCUUUAAAGACCCUCGGGAAGGAACCUGACUUCAACAGCAUUUUCACGAAAGCAUUCACUUAGGAACUUCUCACAUGUGUUAAGGGCAGUGUUCUCUGGGUAGAGGUGUGUGAGAACUGAUUGUAGAAAGCUUGAACAAAUCAACAAAAAAUGAGUAACACCCUCACGGGAAAAAGGCCAAGAGUAGUCUUAAAGAGGCAUUUGAUGAAAUAUUAAUAAGAAAUACAGAUGGCCAGUACGUGUCAAAAGUGAUAAAUCUCAUGGGUAAUCAAACAAAUGGAAGGAAACAUUACAAGAAUGCAUUUUUCAAACGCUGGUUUGGAAAAAAAUUAAAAGAAUAAUAACCAGUAUUGGCAUGGGUAUGAGGAAAAUGACCGCCUUUUCAGAUUGAAGGGAUCAGAAACAGGUACACUGAAGGAACAAUCCGGCGAGAUGCAGCAGAAGUCCCUGUAAGGAAGACGAUCUUUAUAGUAUUCUCUUUCUGGGAGUUGUUUUUGGGGAAGCAAGCAAACCUGUGCACCAAGAUAUACGCACAAGGUUGUUUAGCGUAGCAACAAUAAUGCACGCCUCCUAAAUAAGUGAUAAAAUACACUCAUCUAUCUAUGGUUGUAAAGGGGUACUCCACAGCCAUCCUAAAAGAUACCGUGGAUUCUAGUUCUCGCCCAGCCCUGCUCCUUUUCUGCCAUCUCCUGAAAGCUGGAAAUGAGAGCUUGGAAGAGACUGUCCAAGCCAGUGUCCCCAAAUCUGUUGAAAUGCAGCUUGUUGAAAUGUUCAGCAUACAUGUGUUGGAAAAGCAGUUUAGAGAGCUACAUGUAUAAUGAGAAUGAAAUUUGUUUUUAAAAAACAUACAUAUUUACAUUAAGGUCAGGAAUCCGGGUUACUGUGCUUGUCUCUGGGUGGAAAGAUUUGGAUUAUUUUAAUCAAACCUCUGGCUGUUGCUUAUCUGUAAUAUCUAAUUUUUCUACAAUGAUUAUGUAUUACAGGAGUUUGUUGUUUUUUUCAUCUCCCGUUUUGGCACAUGAAGAGGAGCCCACAAAAGAAACCAGUUGCAAAGAUGAAAGGUGUUUACCAAACUGAGUUCUCCUGUAUCCUGGCGGGCGGGGAAGUCACUGCGGGGGAACUGAAAGGCGGUAAUUAGGCUGAACCUCAAGGGAUGGGGCAUUCAGGGGAGACGCAGAGUCGCCGGCGGCCAACGAAUGCCACGGGGACCCCAGGAACCACAAACUCGGGAUGCUGCGGGGAGAGGCAGCCCGCCUCCUGCCCCCCGCCCCACCCGCGGGCAUCUCCGGGCGCACAGCGCC
rnacentral:lncRNA from 1 species